UCUCCAGGCGGUCGCGGGCUGUCGCUUCCGACUUCUGUUUCCCACUUUCAGGGAUCACAAACUCGGGGUAACACUGGCCCGGCGGGCACAUCCAGCUGUUGGCGUAUGUGAGCGCCAGAGAUGCCGACGAGAAGAGGGCAGCUCCGAGUUUAAUGCGGGCUGGAGACCCUUGGAGUUCCUUUGGCGUCUCGAAUCCAGCGCAGCCGUGGUCCGACGGAGAUCCCUGGGAUUCGACCUGUCAGGGAUGGUGCGGCCGGACCCUGCCCUAGAUCAGAAAGUCCCGUGCGUAGCCAGCCUUUUCGGGCAGGGUCUCUGAGGCAGAGGUCUCGAGCCCCCGGCGGGGCGGAGCUCCUAGAAGCGCAGGCUUGGUCACCCACCCUACGCGUCCAGCCCGGCUUUUGGGGCCACCUCUAGGGCCACACUGAUGGUUGGGCCCAGUUUGUGUGUUUCAGAUGAAAAAUUCACAAGGGACAUGAGAUUCAUAUCUCAUGGGGAUCAAACCUCAUGUCAGUGGCACAGGAGGAAUUAGAAGCUGUGUUACCUUUGAGACCUGAAGAUCCAGUUCUAGGUUUUCCUGCUGCUCCCAAGCUUUGGGCAAAGUAACUACACUUCUCUGAGCCUCGUAAUGGUGAUAAUACUCUUCCCACUUACCUCAUUCAGUUAAUGUAGAGGUCAAAGUCAUACAUGUUUUCUCAGUCAUUUAUUAACUGCCUGAACCAAAAACUGGACCCUAAUGUGUCGCAGAACAACUUGGGCAUUUUGGAAGCACCGUGUAAAAGUAUUAUUAGAAAAGCUGCUCUCAGCCUCCUGAAGUAACCUGCCUCCCAAGCCGCCUUAUUCCUAGGAGAAUCUUCAUCUUCACUUUGUCAUAGCCCAGGGAUCCUGAAGUGGGAUGGAAGAAGGGUAUCUGACCUGGACUGGUGGUCUUGAGACCUUCUGGAAAACUGGAAAGAAGACUUUUUUUUUUUUAACUCCAUGGAGACAAAUGGAUUAAUCAGGUCACAGACUAUCAUUAUGUUUGGUUGAGAGAGGAAGUCUGGUGACAAAAUGCAUUGAAUACGAAUUGACUCCCCCGAUCAGCCCUGAUGAGUCCAUGCUGUGAUACACGGCGACACGCAGAAAUUGCUGAAAGGCUCCUCCAUGCACUGAAACAUCAUGACAAGCGCUUCGUUUCUUAAGUGCAAAGCUGGGGCAGUUAUGACUGCUUCGUGGUGUCGUGAUGAUAAACAGACACGAUACAUGUGAAAAUAACGGAAAGAAUAUAACAUGCAACACUAGCUAUCUAUAUUUUUUCUGUCUUGUGUAUUUUAGUUGUUCCUAUGCACAUGCUUUGGCUGCUGCCCGUAGCUGCUUGCUUUUUUUUUUUUUUUUUUUUUUUUGGCGGUACGCGGACC